rnacentral:rRNA from 1 species
GAAAGCUUGCUUUCUUGCUGACGAGUGGCGGACGGGUGAGUAAUGCUUGGGAAUCUGGCUUAUGGAGGGGGAUAACGACGGGAAACUGUCGCUAAUACCGCGUAGUGUCGAGAGACGAAAGUGCGGGACUGAGAGGCCGCAUGCCAUAGGAUGAGCCCAAGUGGGAUUAGGUAGUUGGUGGGGUAAAGGCCUACCAAGCCUGCGAUCUCUAGCUGGUCUGAGAGGAUGACCAGCCACACUGGAACUGAGACACGGUCCAGACUCCUACGGGAGGCAGCAGUGGGGAAUAUUGCGCAAUGGGGGGAACCCUGACGCAGCCAUGCCGCGUGAAUGAAGAAGGCCUUCGGGUUGUAAAGUUCUUUCGGUAUUGAGGAAGGUUGAUGUGUUAAUAGCACAUCAAAUUGACGUUAAAUACAGAAGAAGCACCGGCUAACUCCGUGCCAGCAGCCGCGGUAAUACGGAGGGUGCGAGCGUUAAUCGGAAUAACUGGGCGUAAAGGGCACGCAGGCGGUUAUUUAAGUGAGGUGUGAAAGCCCUGGGCUUAACCUAGGAAUUGCAUUUCAGACUGGGUCACUAGAGUACUUUAGGGAGGGGUAGAAUUCCACGUGUAGCGGUGAAAUGCGUAGAGAUGUGGAGGAAUACCGAAGGCGAAGGCAGCCCCUUGGGAAUGUACUGACGCUCAUGUGCGAAAGCGUGGGGAGCAAACAGGAUUAG